rnacentral:rRNA from 1 species
AUUGAACGCUGGCGGCAUGCCUUACACAUGCAAGUCGAACGGUAACAGGUCUUCGGAUGCUGACGAGUGGCGAACGGGUGAGUGAUACAUCGGAACGUGCCCGAUCGUGGGGGACAACGGAGCGAAAGCUUUGCUAAUACCGCAUACGAUCUACGGAUGAAAGCAGGGGACCGCAAGGCCUUGCGCGGACGGAGCGGCCGAUGGCAGAUUAGGUAGUUGGUGGGAUAAAAGCUUACCAAGCCGACGAUCUGUAGCUGGUCUGAGAGGACGACCAGCCACACUGGGACUGAGACACGGCCCAGACUCCUACGGGAGGCAGCAGUGGGGAAUUUUGGACAAUGGGCGAAAGCCUGAUCCAGCCAUGCCGCGUGCAGGAUGAAGGCCUUCGGGUUGUAAACUGCUUUUGUACGGAACGAAAAGCCUCUUUCUAAUAAAGAGAGGUCAUGACGGUACCGUAAGAAUAAGCACCGGUUAACUACGUGCCAGCCGCCGCAGUAAAAC